rnacentral:rRNA from 1 species
UACAGAGGGGGCAAGCGUUGUUCGGAAUUACUGGGCGUAAAGGGCGCGUAGGCGGAAUGGCAAGUCGGAUGUGAAAUCCUUCGGCUCAACCGAAGAACGUCGAUCGAAACUGCCGUUCUUGAGGAUUGCAGAGGAGACUGGAAUUCCCGGUGUAGCGGUGAAAUGUGUAGAGAUCGGGAGGAACACCGGUGGCGAAGGCGGGUCUCUGGGCAAUUCCUGACGCUGAGGCGCGAAAGCGUGGGGAGCAAACGGG